CUCAAACAACCCUUAUACUUAGUUUAUGCUUAGCUGAGCAGCUCUUGCAUUAGUUAUAUCUGCAGUGUGAUGAGAGGGUUCAAGGGGAGAGACCCAGCUCACUGGAUGCUUGUCAGAAAGGUGCUUUGGCAACAGCUACGUGUUUCCAUGUGCAGAACAGCAUUGUUUCAUGGCUGGAGAAGAAGACAUCUAAGGUGCAGAACUUCGGCUUCCUGGGUCCCCAGCCCUCGGCACAGUUCCCUCUGCAGUAACAGAAGGAGAAAUAGAGUGGGAAAAAGAAGAGGCAGAAGAAGGAGAAGGAAUGGAGACACAAAGCAGAGAACGAUGCUGAAAACACUGGAAGAGCUGGUGAGGAUGGAGAGAGGAAGAAAUUGGAGAAACAAUCAUGCUUGCUUGGAUCAGAGACCACUUGCUUGUCUGCAGCAGGAAGAAAGUAGCACACUGUCCAGCAGCCUUCCCUGCCUCUGCUCUGCCCCUGGGAUGCCGACAGCUCAUGGAGCUCUACUUUCUGUAAGCAGAACAAUCAGACAACAGCUUCUGACCUUUUUGCCCCUCUGGAGAGCAGCACAGUGUGCUCAGUUUAGAGUCCUCUGCUCAGGUAACAUGCCAGCCCACGUCACUGUCACAGAAAUAAGAGACAACAGGGCUGGAGAGAAUGUCAAGACAAGACUCACCUCUGCCUGAAGCAUUUCCAACAG
rnacentral:lncRNA from 1 species